UACGAGGGGGGCGAGCGUUGUUCGGAAUUAUUGGGCGUAAAGGGCUCGUAGGCGGUCUGUCACGUCGGGAGUGAAAACACGGGGCUUAACCCCGUGCCUGCUUCCGAUACGGGCAGACUAGAGGUAUGCAGGGGGAGAACGGAAUUCCUGGUGUAGCGGUGAAAUGCGCAGAUAUCAGGAGGAACACCGGUGGCGAAGGCGGUUCUCUGGGCAUUACCUGACGCUGAGGAGCGAAAGUGUGGGGAGCGAACAGG
rnacentral:rRNA from 1 species